rnacentral:rRNA from 1 species
UACGUAGGGUGCAAGCGUUGUCCGGAAUUAUUGGGCGUAAAGAGCUCGUAGGCGGUCUGUUACGUCGGCUGUGAAAACCUGGGGCUCAACCCCGGGCCUGCAGCCGAUACGGGCAGACUAGAAUUCGGUAGGGGAGACUGGAAUUCCUGGUGUAGCGGUGAAAUGCGCAGAUAUCAGGAGGAACACCGGUGGCGAAGGCGGGUCUCUGGGCCUCUACUGACGCUGAGAAGCGAAAGCAUGGGGAGCGAACAGG